GACAGGGCGCACGGGCGUUAUUCGUUAUGAUUGGGUGUAAAGGGUACGUAGGUUGCUGUUGAAAUUCUUGGCUUAAAACGCGGAGUGUUCCUACGCGACAGCCUUUUAAAGAUCCAGCUAGAGUAGAGCGGGGGUAGGGAUAAUUUCUCGUGUAAAGGUCAAAUUUUGCAAUAUGAGAAGGAAUACCAGCAAGCGAAGGCGCCUUUCUAUGCUCUACUGACACUCAGGGACGAAAGCUAGGGGAGCGAAUGGG
rnacentral:rRNA from 1 species